rnacentral:rRNA from 1 species
UCGAAGGUAGCAUAAUCAGUAGUCUUUUAAUUGAAGGCUUGUAUGAAUGGUUGGACGAAAUAUUAACUGUUUCAUUUAAAAUUUUUAUAGAAUUUUAUUUUUUAGUCAAAAAGCUAAAAUAUUAUUAAAAGACGAGAAGACCCUAUAAAUCUUGAUAUUUAUAAUAAUUUUAAUUAUUAAGAUUUUUUAAAUUAUAAUUAUUAAAAAUAUUUUAUUGGGGUGAUAUUAAAAUUUAAAAAACUUUUAAUUUUGUUUUUACAUUAAUUUAUGAUUAUAUGAUCCAUUAAUAAUGAUUAAAAAUUUAAGUUACUUUAGGGAUAACAGCGUAAUUUUUUUGGAGAGUUCAUAUUGAUAAAAAAGAUUGCGACCUC